GCCUGGCUGGCUCAGUCGGUAGAGCAUGGGACUCUUGAUCUCAGGGUUGUUGAGUUUGAGCCUCACAUUGGGUG
rnacentral:tRNA from 1 species